GAUAAUAAAUGCAGCAAGUCAACUAUGAAAGGGAAAAGGAGACUGGAAGUUCUUCAUUUUGAAUACUAGUACAAGAUUAUGAGACUAUUAGGCACAGAUUUAUUUGGUCAUAAUGCUCCCUGACAAAUAUAAGUGUUAGAAUGAAGUGCAACAACUACACCUCAAAAGCUACAGGCUGUAGACUUCUCAAAGUUUCAUGGAAGCUUUUGGCAUACUUCGCUCACUUCAAGUUACUAAGUCUUCAUUCAAGUUACUAAGCAGAAGACACAUAUGGAGUCACAGGUUGUGUGACUGAUACAUGUGGACAAAAGAAGCUGUUUCCUUGGAAACGACUCUGAGAAAGCUCUUGGAACAUCUCCUCCCCAGGAGUUAAUUUGUUUCAGAUGGAGAAAGGCGAUUACUUACGACACAUCAAGAAAGAAAAAGAGAAAACUCAAGCUUAUUCCUACCAUCACUGUUUUUCUCUUUCAAAAUCAUAGCAUAGUUAUCAGCAGCAAGAGUAAAUAUUAAUGACAUUGUGACUAUCUAACAUCUAACUCUGCAAUAGUUUUCACCUGUAUGUAGAAGAAACAGUGGGGUUGGAAAGGGAAAUUUUCUAAAUGAACCAAAGUACUGUGUAUGCUUCUCAAUUUCCUGGAAAUUUUCCAGUGCUCUACUUCCCUUCAUACUGAUCAUUUUAAAGUGCAAAUGUUUGCCACUUGGGUUGAAUUACAGAUAAAAAAAUAAUGAUCUGUCAUUUAGUAAAGAUGGUAUCUCAACUUA